CCAUAAAAUCUGCAUUUGUGUAUUCUUUAGCACAGAACACUUCUGAUCUAUAGUAUACUCUUUAUGGGAACUAGAAAUAGGUGAUCUCAGAACCAGAGAGAACUCUGAUUUCGAGAUAGGGAGUUGGCAUCAGUGAGGACCCACCACUGCAAAGUAGCACAGUACAUCCUUCUAACCUCUAGGCUCAAGUCUUGAAUCAUGAAGAAUAAAAAAGAAAGAUAUGGCAGGAAAAAGAGGAUGUGAAAGAGACAGGUUGAUCAUUGUGCAAUGCAUGAUGUACGGAUCAUAUGGGCUUCUUGUUGUGCAGUGUAUAUAUUCUCCACCCAUUUCUGUAAUUUUCCCAAACCAGCUCUGUGAAGGACUUUUCAUCCAUGGCUGGUUGAAUCUGAGUCCGCAGAUGUGGAACCCAUGGAUACAGAGGGCUGACUGUAUUAUAACCCUGAAUGAUAUAAAGUGCUACCUGUCCCAGGAGAACUUGAGAACUAAUUAAGGCUUCACAACAGAUGGAAGUUACAGAAAAAGAUCUUUGGGAUUGAUAGCAGGAAAACCUCCUUCUGAAUACAGGCAUCUGCACAUGAAAAGAUAGCCCACCUUGCAGGUAGGUGAUGACUUUGUCCUUUCCCCAUCAUCUGCAGGAGUCAAACAUACAGAUACUAUCUUAACUAUAGUAGUUAAGAUCACAGACUUUGGAAUUAGAAUUCUUG
rnacentral:lncRNA from 1 species